rnacentral:sRNA from 1 species
GCUAGGUGUGGUGGUGCACCCUUGCAAUCCCAGCGACUUGGGAAGCUGAGGCAGGAGGAUUGCAAGUUUGAGGCCAGCCUCAGCAACUUAGUGAGACCCUGUCUCAA